AUUGAACGCUGGCGGCAGGCCUAACACAUGCAAGUCGAGCGCGUCGCACGCGUGUGUGAAAUGUGUGGGACACUCCCUGAUGGCGGGGGAAAACUACUGAAAACGGUAGCUAAUACCGCAAACCAUCAGAUUUGCCCAGAUGGGAUUAUCUAGUUGGUGGGGUAACGGCUCACCAAGGCGACGAUCCAUAGCUGGUCUGAGAGGUUGACCAGCAACACUGGAACUGAGACACGGUCCAGACUCCUACGGGAGGCAGCAGUGGGGAAUAUUGCACAAUGGGCGCAAGCCUGACGCAGCCAUGCCGCGUGUAUGAAGAAGGCCUUCGGGUUGUAAAGUACUUUCAGCGGGGAGGCGUUACCCGAAGAAGAAGCACCGGCUAACUCCGUGCCAGCAGCCGCGGUAAUUC
rnacentral:rRNA from 1 species